rnacentral:rRNA from 1 species
CAGCCGCCACGGUAAUACGAAGGGUGCAAGCGUUAAUCGGAAUUACUGGGCGUAAAGCGUGCGUAGGCGGUGAGUUAAGUCUGCUGUGAAAUCCCCGGGCUCAACCUGGGAAUGGCAGUGGAUACUGGCUCGCUAGAGUGUGUCAGAGGAUGGUGGAAUUCCCGGUGUAGCGGUGAAAUGCGUAGAGAUCGGGAGGAACAUCAGUGGCGAAGGCGGCCAUCUGGGACAACACUGACGCUGAGGAGCGAAAGCGUGGGGAGCGAACAGGAUUAGAUACCCCCGUAGUCCCUGUCUCUUAUAC